AUUGCUUUUAUUUUUGUAGUUCAUUUAUUUAUUUGUAUUUUAUUGUAUUAUGUAAAAGUUAGUUUUAGCUCAUUUUAACUCAUUUUUGUUUUUUUAUUUAUUUUUUUAUCUUAAUUUUUUAUCAAUUAAUUUUUUUUUCUAAUUCUAUUUUUAUUUUUUAUUUUUUAUUAUAUCUAUGAAGUAGAGCUGAGUCAGACGUGGGUUGGGGAAAUCCUGAAAGCGAACGGAGCCGGACGCGGACAGUGUUUAUGAAGCUGCUGGUGUUCAAAUUUAAAUGGAAUAGGCACUAAUUUCCCAGACAAUGUCUAUCUGGGUUUAAUAAUUGGAGUUUCGGUCUCGGGGGUUUUGGCAGCGCUUGUUUUUUUGAUGCUCUGUGUUCUGGUGAUGAUAAUAAACACUGCAAGAUGCCCUGACUGCACAGACCACAUCUCUCAGGGUUUAAUGAUUGGAGGUGUGGUCUCAGGGAUGUUGGUGCUCCUGUGUCCUGUGAUCCUCCGUGUGCUAAUAAAGAGAAUAAUAAUGUAUGAAAGAUGGACUGACUUGCUUUAUAACAUCUACUGGGAUUUAAUAGUUGGAGUUGUGGGGCUUGUGCUGAUCCUGUAUUCUGUGACCCUUUGUGUUCUGAUAUGGAGAAUAAAAAAGUUGCAGCGUUUUUGCGCGUCUCAGCAGAGGAAACUGACCUGCACGUUCACGAUGUGAAGAUACACCAGCA
ensembl:lncRNA